UAACACAUGCAAGUCGAGGGGCAGCAUUUUCCUUUGCUUGCAAACUGAAGAUGGCGACCGGCGCACGGGUGAGUAACACGUAUCCAACCUGCCGAUAACUCCGGGAUAGCCUUUCGAAAGAAAGAUUAAUACCGGAUAGUAUACGAAUAUCGCAUGAUAUUUUUAUUAAAGAAUUUCGGUUAUCGAUGGGGAUGCGUUCCAUUAGUUUGUUGGCGGGGUAACGGCCCACCAAGACUACGAUGGAUAGGGGUUCUGAGAGGAAGGUCCCCCACAUUGGAACUGAGACACGGUCCAAACUCCUACGGGAGGCAGCAGUGAGGAAUAUUGGUCAAUGGGCGCGAGCCUGAACCAGCCAAGUAGCGUGAAGGAUGAAGGCUCUAUGGGUCGUAAACUUCUUUUAUAUGGGAAUAAAGUUUUCCACGUGUGGAAUUUUGUAUGUACCAUAUGAAUAAGGAUCGGCUAACUCCGUGCCAGCAGCCGCGGUAAUACGGAGGAUCCGAGCGUUAUCCGGAUUUAUUGGGUUUAAAGGGAGCGUAGGUGGAUUGUUAAGUCAGUUGUGAAAGUUUGCGGCUCAACCGUAAAAUUGCAGUUGAAACUGGCAGUCUUGAGUACAGUAGAGGUGGGCGGAAUUCGUGGUGUAGCGGUGAAAUGCUUAGAUAUCACGAAGAACUCCGAUUGCGAAGGCAGCUCACUAGACUGUCACUGACACUGAUGCUCGAAAGUGUGGGUAUCAAACAGGAUUAGAUACCCUGGUAGUCCACACAGUAAACGAUGAAUACUCGCUGUUUGCGAUAUACAGUAAGCGGCCAAGCGAAAGCAUUAAGUAUUCCACCUGGGGAGUACGCCGGCAACGGUGAAACUCAAAGGAAUUGACGGGGGCCCGCACAAGCGGAGGAACAUGUGGUUUAAUUCGAUGAUACGCGAGGAACCUUACCCGGGCUUAAAUUGCAACAGAAUAUAUUGGAAACAGUAUAGCCGUAAGGCUGUUGUGAAGGUGCUGCAUGGUUGUCGUCAGCUCGUGCCGUGAGGUGUCGGCUUAAGUGCCAUAACGAGCGCAACCCUUAUCUUUAGUUACUAACAGGUUAUGCUGAGGACUCUAGAGAGACUGCCGUCGUAAGAUGUGAGGAAGGUGGGGAUGACGUCAAAUCAGCACGGCCCUUACGUCCGGGGCUACACACGUGUUACAAUGGGGGGUACAGAAGGCGGCUACCUGGUGACAGGAUGCUAAUCCCAAAAACCUCUCUCAGUUCGGAUCGAAGUCUGCAACCCGACUUCGUGAAGCUGGAUUCGCUAGUAAUCGCGCAUCAGCCAUGGCGCGGUGAAUACGUUCCCGGGCCUUGUACACACCGCCCGUCAAGCCAUGAAAGCCGGGGGUACCUGAAGUACGUAACCGCAAGGAGCGUCCUAGGGUAAAACUGGUAAUUGGGGCUAA
rnacentral:rRNA from 1 species